rnacentral:rRNA from 1 species
UGAGGAAUAUUGGUCAAUGGGCGAGAGCCUGAACCAGCCAAGUAGCGUGCAGGACGACGGCCCUAUGGGUUGUAAACUGCUUUUAUAAGGGAAUAAAGUGAGUCUCGUGAGACUUUUUGCAUGUACCUUAUGAAUAAGGACCGGCUAAUUCCGUGCCAGCAGCCGCGGUAAUACGGAAGGUCCGGGCGUUAUCCGGAUUUAUUGGGUUUAAAGGGAGCGUAGGCCGGAGAUUAAGCGUGUUGUGAAAUGUAGACGCUCAACGUCUGCACUGCAGCGCGAACUGG